rnacentral:tRNA from 1 species
GGCCGGUUAGUUCAGUUGGUUAGAGCGUGGUGCUGAUGACACCAAGGUUGCGGGUUCAACCCCCGUUCAGACCC